GCUGCAUGGUUGUCGUCAGCUCGUGCCGUGAGGUGUCGGGUUAAGUCCCAUAACGAGCGCAACCCCAUUCAUUAGUUGCCAUCAGGUCAAGCUGGGGACUCUAAUGAAACUGCCUACGCAAGUAGUGAGGAAGGUGGGGAUGACGUCAAAUCAUCAUGCCCCUUAUGAUCUGGGCUACACACGUGCUACAAUGGCCGGUACAACGGGCAGCGAAGGAGCGAUCCGGAGCGAAUCCUAAAAAGCCGGUCCCAGUUCGGAUUGCAGGCUGAAACUCGCCUACAUGAAGUUGGAGUUGCUAGUAAUCGCGAAUCAGAAUGUCGCGGUGAAUGCGUUCCCGGGUCUU
rnacentral:rRNA from 1 species